UACGGGGGGGGCAAGCGUUGUUCGGAAUUACUGGGCGUAAAGGGCUCGUAGGCGGCCAACUAAGUCAUACGUGAAAUCCCUCGGCUUAACCGGGGAACUGCGUCUGAUACUGGAUGGCUUGAGUUCGGGAGAGGGAUGCGGAAUUCCAGGUGGUAGCGGUGGAAAUGCGUAGAUAUCUGGAGGAACACGGUGGCGAAGGCGGCCAUCCUGGACCGAUACUGACGCUGAGGAGCGAAAGCCAGGGGAGCAAACGG
rnacentral:rRNA from 1 species